rnacentral:rRNA from 1 species
ACCGGGAGGCAGCAGAGGGAAUUUUCCGCAAUGGGCGCAAGCCUGACGGAGCAACGCCGCGUGAGCGAGGACGGCCUCUGGAACCGGAGUAGUUAGCCGGUGCUUUCUCCUUCGGUAGCGUCAAACGGAAGAGUUGUUCGCUCUCCCGUCAUUC